GCAAGCUAGCUCAGUUGGUUAGAGCAUGGUGCUGAAAACCCCAAGGUUGAAAGUUCAAUCUCCUUAUGGAACAGCUGCA